AAUCCAUAGGUUAAUGAGGCGAACCGGGGGAACUGAAACAUCUAAGUACCCCGAGGAAAAGAAAUCAACCGAGAUUCCCCCAGUAGCGGCGAGCGAACGGGGAGGAGCCCAGAGCCUGAAUCAGCAUGUGUGUUAGUGGAAGCGUCUGGAAAGGCGCGCGAUACAGGGUGACAGCCCCGUACACAAAAGCGCAUGUGCUGUGAGCUCGAUGAGUAGGGCGGGACACGUGGUAUCCUGUCUGAAUAUGGGGGGACCAUCCUCCAAGGCUAAAUACUCCUGACUGACCGAUAGUGAACCAGUACCGUGAGGGAAAGGCGAAAAGAACCCCGGCGAGGGGAGUGAAAAAGAACCUGAAACCGUGUACGUACAAGCAGUGGGAGCACCCUUUGGGUGUGACUGCGUACCUUUUGUAUAAUGGGUCAGCGACUUAU
rnacentral:rRNA from 3 species